GAGAAGUGACUCUGAUAGCCCACCAGAGGGCACUGUUGCUCCCUCUCCAUCUCAGCUCUCUCGCUCCCCAAAGUCACCCUUCCUGCCGCGUGCCUCUCGAGUGCUGCCCCCACCCACUGCAGGCCAAGAGAACGGGGAGGAGGCUUCACCGCAGUGGCUGAAAGAGCUCAAGUCUAAGAAGCGUUUGAGUCAGUAUGAAAAUGACAGCUAAGUCUCAGAAGCAGUUGCCUUAAAACUGGAGACUGCUGUACAUGAAAUCUCAAGACAGAAGCCUUAACCUUUGACCUGGAGUUGACAUGGAAUUCCGCU